UAGAAUGUAGCUCAGUGGUACAGCACUUACCUAACAUGCAUGAGGCCCUGGGUUUAAUCCCCAGUAAUUGAA
rnacentral:tRNA from 1 species